AGCGAACGCUGGCGGCAGGCUUAACACAUGCAAGUCGAGCGGGCCCUUCGGGGCCAGCGGCAGACGGGUGAGUAACACGUGGGAACGUACCCUUUGGUUCGGAAUAACGCUGGGAAACUAGCGCUAAUACCGGAUUACCCCUUUUGGGGAAAGGCUUGCUGCCGAAGGAUCGGCCCGCGUCUGAUUAGCUAGUUGGUGGGGUAAUGGCCUACCAAGGCGACGAUCAGUAGCUGUCUGAGAGGAUGAUCACCCACACUGGGACUGAGACACGGCCCACACUCCUACGGGAGGCAGCAGUGGGGAAUAUUGGACAAUGGGCGCAAGCCUGAUCCAGCCAUGCCGCGUGUGUGACGAUGGCCUUAGGGUUGUAAAGCUCUUUUGUCCGGGACGAUAAUGACGGUACCGGAAGAAUAAGCCCCGACUAACUUCGUGCCAGCAGCCGCGGUAAUACGAAGGGGGCUAGCGUUGCUCGGAAUCACUGGGCGUAAAGGGCGCGUAGGCGGCCGUUCAAGUCGGGGGUGAAAGCCUGUGGCUCAACCACAGAAUUGCCUUCGAUGCUGUUUGGCUUGAGUUUGGUAGAGGUUGGUGGAACUGCGAGUGUAGAGGUGAAAUUCGUAUAUAUUCGCAAGACACCAGUGGCGAAGGCGGCCAACUGGACCAAUACUGACGCUGAGGCGC
rnacentral:rRNA from 1 species